GAUGAACGCUAGCGGCAGGCUUAACACAUGCAAGUCGAGGGGCAGCACGUCUUCGGAUGGUGGCGACCGGCGCACGGGUGCGUAACGCGUAUAGAACCUACCUUUUACAGGGGAAUAGCCCAGAGAAAUUUGGAUUAAUGCCCCAUAGUAUUAUAGUAUGGCAUCAUAUUAUAAUUAAACAUUUAUGGGUAAAAGAUGGCUAUGCGUUCUAUUAGCUAGUAGGUAAGGUAACGGCUUACCUAGGCAACGAUAGAUAGGGGUCCUGAGAGGGAGAUCCCCCACACUGGUACUGAGACACGGACCAGACUCCUACGGGAGGCAGCAGUGAGGAAUAUUGGACAAUGGGCGAGAGCCUGAUCCAGCCAUGCCGCGUGCAGGAAGACGGCCCUAUGGGUUGUAAACUGCUUUUUGUACGGGAAGAAACACCCCCUCGUGAGGGGGCUUGACGGUACCGUAAGAAUAAGGAUCGGCUAACUCCGUG
rnacentral:rRNA from 1 species